GCCGGCGUAGCUCAACAGGCAGAGCACUCGAUUUGUAAUCGAGUUCGUGCAGGUUCGAUUCCUGUCGCCGGCUCCA
rnacentral:tRNA from 1 species